CUUUAAAAAUCUGGAUCAAGCUGAAAAUUGAAACGACACACAUGUUAUGUGUGUUCGAGUCUCUCAAAUUUUCGCGACACGAUGAUGUUUUACGAAACAUCUUCGG
rnacentral:sRNA from 10 species